rnacentral:tRNA from 1 species
GGGAGAGUGGCCGAGCGGUCAAAGGCAGCUGACUGUAAAUCAGCCGAGAAUCUCUACAGUGGUUCAAAUCCACUCUCUCCCACCA